GACAGAGGGGGCAAGCGUUGUUCGGAAUUACUGGGCGUAAAGGGCGCGUAGGCGGCCUGUUAAGUCGAACGUGAAAUCCCCGGGCUCAACCCGGGAACUGCGUCCGAUACUGGCAGGCUUGAAUUCGGGAGAGGGAUGUGGAAUUCCCGGUGGAGUGGUGAAAUGCGUUGAGAUCGGGAGGAACACCAGUGGCGAAGGCGGCACCCUGGCCGAGGUCUGACGCUGAAGCGCGACAGCGUGGGGAGCGAACGGG
rnacentral:rRNA from 1 species